GUGUGUGUAAAUGAUUCGAUACAGACUGGUAUCGAGGGAAAUUCUGCCUCAAAAUGGCGGAGAGCGCCAAACGCCGUUAGGAUGUGUAGCAGCGGCUUUUGCGCUAAUUUAUUGCUGUUCUCUCAUUCAUUCAACAAGCAUAAAUUGAGCACCUUUUUCAAGCCUCUGGCUGUGUGCUGGGCCAGGAGACACAGGGACGAUUGAGCCUCCUCCCGCGCCAUGCCCCAGGGCAGAGCUGGUGGACUGUCCUUUCCUGCCUUCUGGGAGACAGGAGACCUGAGUCGGGCAUCCUCUGUGAGCACUCCCCCCGGGGGCCAGGCCCGGGGCUGGGCAUGCGAUAUAUGUUCCUCUCAACCUGGGACAGCUGCUGAGAUAGGAGCUUCUGACCCAGUUUUACAGCUAAGAAAAUUGAGGCUUAGAGAGGCCAAGUGGUCACAGGCUAGUACAUGGCAGAGUGGGCAUUUGAACCUGGGGCUGCCCAGUUCUAAAGACUAGACUCUUCUCUGACCUGGUUUAUGCAACCAACAUCUGGGAUCUGAUCAGAGAACACGCUGUUUCCAUUCCACACUGGGCAGCCAAGCAGCACUGACCACAUGAGAAUGGGAACUAAACGCGGCCUUGCCUGACCUUGGAGGCACAGCUCCGAGGCCAAGCCCUCUAGUAGGAAGAGACACAUUGCAAAAUUCUGGCCAAGGAGACAUUGCUCAGGAGAACAAGUCUGCUGGAGAAGCUCCUGGGACUGCUUUCUUAGCUCAUAAAUAGAGCCACAAGGACCAUUUUUCACCCAUCAGAUUGGCAAGAAUCCAAAAGGUGACAGAAACCCACAAGGACAAAGAAAGAGAAGAUGAUAGAAGACAUGUUACAUCAACAACAGUUCAGAAGCUGGAGAGCAGAUGGGCAAGAGCCAACUGGCUUAGCAGAUCAGAGCAGGCUGAAACUUAAGCCUGCCUUGGGAUGAGCAAGCCCAUUCAGAAGCCUGAAAGGCCCAGGAAUGAGGAAGCAGCAAAGACCUCAGAGGCAUAGGUGGGGCUAAAAAGAAGAGGACUCGUGGAAAGUCCACACGAGAACUAAGAAUCUCAAUGCCACCUCCUAGCAAGAUGACCACCCUACUCUCACCGUGAAAAAAGAUGGGCGGCAACUCUCUGGAGAGUUUGGGUCAACGAGCUUCUGGACUCUAAGAGGGCAGACAUAGCUGAGCACAGGGGUGAGGGGGAAUAAGGGUAAGUCUAUAAGCUGAACGGUGAAGACUCAUGCCACCUUCUCCCACUGAUCUUCUGGAAAGUUCUCAGCCAGACCUAUACUGCUCCUUCAGGCAGAUAAUGGGAGGCUUCCUCUCUGGAGAAACUGACCACCCCAAGAGAAAAGAUCUAAAGAUACUGAUACCAGGGAAUCCCCUACAGAAAUAGCCAAGUCGCCCCACCUCAAUCACCCUAUCCUGAAGCCCGCUGAUCAUCAAGCCUCACCCAAGCACAGGGAGCUUCCCAGGAGGCAUUGGGUGCCUCACUCUUAGACGUGUGUAGACAGCACAGUGCACCAGACAUUGGAGAAAAGUCUCUAACUGAAAGGCAGAUCAGAGCAAAUAGGAAAUAAAAGAAUUCCAAAGGAAAUAGAGUGAUUGCAGGAAACAGUGAAAAAAUAUACAUAAUGUAUGUAGUUUAAUACCCUCAGAAAAAUUAGAAGAUGCUGCAUUUCAUGAAAUAAGAACAAAGGGGCUAUAAAAAUGAACAUUCAGAAAAUAAGAAAAAAACUCUUGGAAAUUAAAAAUACGAUAUUGGAAAUUUUUUUAAGAUUGGCACCUGAGCUAACAUCUGUUGCCAAUCUUUUUUCUUCUCCUUCUUCUUCUUCCCAAAGCCCCCCAGCACAUAGUUGUAUAUUCUAGUUGUGAGUGCCUCGUGUUGUGCCAUGUGGGACGCUGCCUCAGCAUGGCCUGAUGAGCGGUGCCAUGUCUGAACCCAGGAUCCAAACGGGUGAAACCCUGGGCUGCUGAAGUGGAGCACGUGAACUUAAUCACCCGGCCCCAGAAAUUUUUUAAACCAAGAGAAUAUUUGAAAAAUAAAGUAGAAGAAAUUUUCAUUAAAAAUAGAAAAAAAGUAGAAAAUAAGAAAACUCAGGGGUUAAUCUAAGAGGGCCAUCAUUCAACUAACAGCAGUUACAGAAAAAGAAAAUAAAGAAAACAGAGAGGAUGCAGUUAUCAAAAAAUACUCAAAAAAUAAUACAAGAUACUACUCCAGAAUUGAAGGGAAUGUAUCCCAAGAUUUAACAGAUCCUCCAAGAUCUGGCACCAUGAAUUAAACUUUAAAAAAAUAAUUUAGGGGCUGGCCCCGUGGCCAAGUGGUUAAGUUCGCGCACUCCCCUGCAGGCGGCCCAGUAUUUCGCUGGUUCGAAUCCUGGGCGCGGACAUGGCACUGCUCAUCGAGCCACGCUGAGGCAGCGUCCCACAUGCCACAACUAGAGGACCCACAGCGAAGAAUAUACAACUAUGUACCUGGGGGCUUUGGGGAGAAAAAGGAAAAAUAAUAAUAAUAAUAAUAAUUUAAAAUUUCUUUUAAAUGUUUUAAACCAUUCCAAGGAACAUCAUCACGAAAUGUAGAAGAAAGAAAUGGAGAGAAAUCCUAAAAACUUCCAAAGUAAAUAAGCAGGUCAUAUACAAACCUCGGAAUCUGAAAGGUAUCUGAUGUCUCAACAACAAUGGAAGCUAGAAGACAAUAGAACAAUGCCUUCAAAAUUCGGAGGGAAAAUGAUCGCCAGUCUAGAGUCAGCCACACUAUCAAUCAAAUUUGAGGCUAGAAUAAAGACAUUUUCAGAUACAAGUUCUCCAAAAACUUACCUCCCAGUCAUCCUUUCUCAGGAAGUUACUGGAGGAAGUAUUCCCCUAAAAGUUAGGAAGAAUCUAAGAAAGAGGAUGAAGUGGGGUCCCAGGUGCAAAGGAUGCCCUGGAAGACAGUGAUGGAAGGCUCUCAGGUAAGGAUCUGGGUGCUGCUUGCAGAGAACAACAGUAGGGGGCCGGGUUUGG
ensembl:lncRNA